UGCCAGACUCCUACGGGAGGCAGCAGUGGGGAAUCUUCCGCAAUGGGCGAAAGCCUGACGGAGCAACGCCGCGUGAUCGAAUGAAGGCCUUCGGGUUGUAAAGAUCUGUUGACAGGGACGAAUAAGCAAUGCGAAUAGUUUUGUGUAUGACGGUACCUGUUUAGAAAGCUCCGGCUAACUACGUGCCAGUAGCCGCGGUAAUACGUAGGGGGCAAGCGUUGUCCGGAAUGACUGGGCGUAAAGGGAGUGUAGGCGGCUUAUCAAGUUAGAUGUGAAAUCCCGCGGCUUAACCGCGGAACUGCAUCUAAAACUGGUGAGCUGGAGUGCAGGAGAGGUGAGUGGAAUUCCUAGUGUAGCGGUGGAAUGCGUAGAUAUUAGGAGGAACACCAGAGGCGAAGGCGACUCACCGGACUGUAACUGACGCUGAGGCUCGAAAGCGUGGGGAGUAAACAGGAUUAGAUACCCCUGUA
rnacentral:rRNA from 1 species